ACUCCUACGGGAGGCAGCAGUGGGGAAUAUUGGACAAUGGGCGCAAGCCUGAUCCAGCAAUGCCGCGUGUGUGAAGAAGGCCUUCGGGUUGUAAAGCACUUUUAUCAGGAGCGAAAUGCCAUGGGCUAAUACCCCGUGGAGCUGACGGUACCUGAGGAAUAAGCACCGGCUAACUUCGUGCCAGCAGCCGCGGUAAUACGAAGGGUGCAAGCGUUAAUCGGAAUUACUGGGCGUAAAGGGUGCGUAGGCGGUUAUUUAAGUCUGCCGUGAAAUCCCCGGGCUCAACCUGGGAAUGGCGGUGGAUACUGGAUAGCUAGAGUGUGUCAGAGGAUGGUGGAAUUCCCGGUGUAGCGGUGAAAUGCGUAGAGAUCGGGAGGAACAUCAGUGGCGAAGGCGGCCAUCUGGGACAACACUGACGCUGAAGCACGAAAGCGUGGGGAGCAAACAGGAUUAGAUACCCUGGUAGUCCACGCCCUAAACGAUGCGAACUGGAUGUUGGUCUCAACUCGGAGAUCAGUGUCGAAGCAAACGCGUUAAGUUCGCCGCCUGGGGAGUACGGUCGCAAGACUGAAACUCAAAGGAAUUGACGGGGGCCCGCACAAGCGGUGGAGUAUGUGGUUUAAUUCGAUGCAACGCGAAGAACCUUACCUGGCCUUGACAUGUCCGGAAUCCUGCAGAGAUGCGGGAGUGCCUUCGGGAAUCGGAACACAGGUGCUGCAUGGCUGUCGUCAGCUCGUGUCGUGAGAUGUUGGGUUAAGUCCCGCAACGAGCGCAACCCUUGUCCUUAGUUGCCAGCACGUAAAGGUGGGAACUCUAAGGAGACUGCCGGUGACAAACCGGAGGAAGGUGGGGAUGACGUCAAGUCCUCAUGGCCUUUACGGCCAGGGCUACACACGUACUACAAUGGUCGGUACAGAGGGUUGC
rnacentral:rRNA from 1 species